rnacentral:lncRNA from 1 species
GUACAAGGGCAGAGAAAGUGAGCUGAGCAGACUGCACGUGUUUCUCUCUGCUCUUCACAUUGGAUGUGAGGUGGCCGGCUCCUUCCAGUACCAUCGUGACUUCUCCACAGGAUGACCUGUGACCUGGCCUUGUGAGCUGAAUACCCCCAUGUCCCCCUAAGCUGCUUUUCCUUGGGGUGGGUCAUCACAGCAAUAGAGAGAAGGUUUCCAUGUCGCUCAGGCUGGCCCCCAUACUAUAUAGCUUUAAAAUGCUGACCCUCCAGUUUCCACCUCCUAAGUGCUAGGAUUACAGGUAUGAGUCACCACAUCCAGUUUAUAGAGUGCUAGGAAUCGCAGGCUUUCUGCAGGAUCUGAAAGCACUCUACCCACUGCGACCUGCACACCCUCUCCCCCUCACCCCCACUGCAGAUUAACUAACUCUUGUGUGCUAUAGCUCCCUUUUAUUGUUCUCCUGGGGUGGGGGGAAGGCUCCACCCUUGCCACCUCAAAACAGCCUCCUUGUGUACACUUCCCUAAUCACCUGCAAAAGGGGAUCUGGGAAGUCAGCUCAGGAGCAGAGCCCCUGGAUCCAAAACAUGCAGGUGUUUGACUUAGAGUCCAGGAGGGCUCUUCUGUCCUCGUCAGCUUCCUUCUCACCUUCAUCUCUCUGUCUCUGUCUCUCUGUCUCUCUCUCUGUCUCUCUCUCUGUCUCUCUCUCUCUCUCUGUCUGUCUGUCUCUCUCUCUCUCUGUCUGUCUCUGUCUGAAGUCCUGGCUCUCAUGGACUCACUAUAGACCAGGCUUGUUUCCAACUCACAGAAACUCACAGUGCUGUCUCCCAUUGUCUCCACAGUGCUGGGAUUAAAGGUGUGAGUCGUGACACCCUCACCUGUAUUUUCCUACUCUUAGGUUUUAGAACUAUGCACCUUUCUUUGAGAAUUUCACAACGUAUUUUGGUUCUGUUCACCCUCUCUCACCUAACUUCUUCUGAAACUCCCUCUCCCUUCCAGUUCCCCUUGGGACUUCAUGAUACCACCUCCCCCUCUUCCUCCUCCUUUUCUCCUAGCCUGUAGGGUCCAUUAAUGCAUUCCACAUACUCCUGAGUGUGGAGCCAUCUGGUGGGGCAUGGCCAUCUUACAAGGGAGAACACUCUUAAAGAAAGCUGACUCUUCUCCACUAGCGACUGUCAACUAUGAAUACAUCCUCAGCUAGCGGUGAGGGCUGUGAGCCUCUCCUGGGUCCAUGCUGGAAUGCUGGCUCUCCUGGGUCCAUGCUGGAAUGCUGGCUCUCCUGGGUCCAUGCUGGAAUGCUGGCUCUCCUGGGUCCAUGCUGGAAUGCUGGCUCUCCUGGGUCCAUGCUGGAAUGCUGGCUCUCCUGGGUCCAUGCUGGAAUGCUGGCUGGCUGGUCUUGUGCUGGGCAGAGCUGCUGUGAGUUUGAGUUCCAGAGGAUAGAGGAUACCAGUCUAUCACGGAGCUGAAACAGCAGACACAGCAGCAGGAACUGGACGCUGAGAACGGAUAUCCUUUACCAUAAGCACAGAGCAGAAAGAGCCAGCUGCAAGCGGCAGCGGAGAAAUAACCUAUCAGAUGGUGCUGAAACCCGGGAGAAGUUAAGUCCCCAGCGCGAUGGUUUUGGUCUUUCCUGGCCACGUGGGAACCACUUCUGUCCCUCUCUCUUCUCUGCUGGAUACAUCAUUUCUUCGGACUCACGAGUACCCAUCCCUAGAUAUCCUGACUAUCCAGGUCCAGGACCCUCUGAGCUCUUUGCUGAGUUGCGGCCCCGACAGAGUUAGCCCCAUCCGAACAAAGACCAGGCCUUUGUUUUGGGGGAACCCCUGAUAUAGAGACUUCUUAUCUGAGGUUACCGCCCCCACAUAAACCGUUGGGUCGAUCUCAGACUAUACAUUGGGAUGACAAUUCAACAGUAUUGAGAUCUCUGGCAAACGUUGGGAAGAUGGGUGUCACAGGAUCUAAAACAAAAAUGUAUUCCUACGUCCAGUUUUUGGGAAGCUGCGCUCUCCUAAUCUCCCUUCACUGCAUUGAGCACAGGGCUCCAGGAGCCGCCUAGCCACUCCCACCUCUCAUCCCCAUCUCCUUCCCGUCCUCCUGUGGCUCCGUUGUCAGUGGCGGCAGCAGCAGCACCAGCGGUUGUGAUGACUAAGGGUGGCGAGGCACCCAUGUUCCCAGAAGUAAUUCCAAAUAAACUCCUUUGUUCACCAAGGU